UACGUAGGGGGCGAGCGUUGUCCGGAAUUAUUGGGCGUAAAGCGCGCGCAGGCGGUCUCUUAAGUCUGAUGUGAAAGCCCACGGCUCAACCGUGGAGGGUCAUUGGAAACUGGGGGACUUGAGGGCAGGAGAGGAGAGCGGAAUUCCACGUGUAGCGGUGAAAUGCGUAGGGAUGUGGAGGAACACCAGUGGCGAAGGCGGCUCUCUGGCCUGCACCUGACGCUGAGGCGCGAAAGCGUGGGGAGCAAAC
rnacentral:rRNA from 1 species